GACGAACGCUGGCGGCGUGCUUAACACAUGCAAGUCGAACGGAAAGGCCCUGCUUUUGUGGGGUGCUCGAGUGGCGAACGGGUGAGUAACACGUGAGUAACCUGCCCUUGACUUUGGGAUAACUUCAGGAAACUGGGGCUAAUACCGGAUAGGAGCUCCUGCUGCAUGGUGGGGGUUGGAAAGUUUCGGCGGUUGGGGAUGGACUCGCGGCUUAUCAGCUUGUUGGUGAGGUAGUGGCUUACCAAGGCUUUGACGGGUAGCCGGCCUGAGAGGGUGACCGGCCACAUUGGGACUGAGAUACGGCCCAGACUCCUACGGGAGGCAGCAGUGGGGAAUAUUGCACAAUGGGCGGAGGCCUGAUGCAGCAACGCCGCGUGCGGGAUGACGGCCUUCGGGUUGUAAACCGCUUUCGCCUGUGACGAAGCGUGAGUGACGGUAAUGGGUAAAGAAGCACCGGCUAACUACGUG
rnacentral:rRNA from 1 species